GCUUAGUGUUUGCAAACAAAAGAGCUUACGUUGGUUUAUAUAGCUAUAGCCAGUAUUUACAGCUUAAAUUAAAGUUUUAAUCUUAGCCUAAUCAAAGGUAACUUGCAAAAUUGAACUAAACCCCGAGGUGACAAUUUUGUAACGAAGUUAUCGGCUACUUAUGAAGGAGAAAUUUGAUAAAUUGGGGUUACAACUUUAAAUUGAAUUAGAAAUGGUCAGGCGCAAGCUAUUCUGAAAAACUGUAAGGGAUUUUAAUACAUGGAAGCCAGCAUUUGGCAUUUGUAUGCAGAAAAAUAUAAUUUUUGUAUGCUUUUAGUGCGUCUGCGGUUCUCUUGAUCGCGAUAACAGAGUUUAAAUUGCAACGUCAACAACCAGAGGUGUAAUGUUCAUGACGUCACACUGCACUGAUGCCCCAGCUGAACAACAUCAAGACGGCCACGUGCAAUAAUACCGUACAAUAUACAGAUCAGCUGCUUUGCAUUCUCAUAUAUCAAAAUCUACCGGGACCUGCGAUUGCAUUGUUUAUCAAUACAACUUGAUUCAAAACAAGCGAGAAAAAUUGGAGCUUCAGCUGGUUGAUCGCUCUCAACGUGGUUUUCAAGAGAACAGCUUCUUUCCACAACAGCGGAGAAAAUUGAUUGAAAGAUUACAUCUCGGGUCAUCAAAACACGCUUAUUGUGGUAAUUCAGGGUCACUUAUAUCAAUCACCUUCAGCCAACUGCGGGAUAUUUGUACCUAAAAAGUCACGAUUCACGUUCAAACCGAAUUCUUCGUAUACUUGUUGCAAGCGAAAGCCACAGUAGCUGGCAUCUAACUGAGAGAGUCUGCGUCAGCCUUACGGAGUUUAAGUCGUCAACAUUUGCUUGGACUGAUUUUGAAGCCGAGUUGUACAGUGCAUUGCCGGAUUGUCCAGUCUUCAAGCCCUCGACAACCUUACUCCUAAGCUCAGCUACCUUCGCUGAAUUAUUUGAACAUCAAAGAAUAUGAACGUCAGAGUUAAAGGCCGAAAUCUACUGAGCCGAAGAAGCUUUGUGACAGGGAAGUCAAUAUGCGAUGAAACAAGGUGGCUUCUAAUCUCUGGGAGCAAUUCCGACAUCACAGAUCAGACUCAAAUUUGCGAUUUAAACCAAGCUUCGAAUGAUUGGAGCUCGAAGGCGCAAGAUAUUAAUCCUUUGAGAAGAACAAGGUCAGUGACAGGGUCGAAUGGCUUUCCACAAACCACACAAAAACCUAAUGAUGGUAAAGUUUGCGGUAACGCUUGCGAACGAUGUAGUUAUCCAAAGAUUGUAGCAGCUGUGAGUGAUGAUGUGAAAGGCUGUCUUCCAAGCCCGACUCUAAUGAGACGCCGUAAUGCCAUAUGCGAUGAAAUCGAAAAAAGAACUAUGGCUAUGUCUGGGAGAACAUUGAGACAAAAACGAGUUGAUAUGCUUCGAUCGAUUGCCUUGACGCAAUUCUCAUUGUUGUAAUAUCACUGCAAUGUCCGUGCACACGCGAAAAAAUUAGCCCGGUCUGCACUUCAUGAGCCUGAACGUAGCUCGUAGAAUCGAUGACAGAUUACAAGAGGGAUUUUCAGUUUAGAUGCAGACCUAUGCCCGAUGAUGAAAGUGUCAUUCUAUUCGUUGUAAACAGAGGUAGAGAUUAUAUACGUCCUGGGUGUUCAUAUAGUGGAGGUUGAUGUAUAAGGAUAGGUCCCAUCGUAAUAUGUAUAAACUGUUGAAGUAAUUGUUUAAGUACGAAACAGUUAAACGAAAGUUGCGUUUUACUUUCUCUAGAGAAUAAAAUUCCACGGGGUUCCAUC
rnacentral:lncRNA from 1 species